GCUAAGACUGGAUAGGAAACAAAAAGGCAUCUUUUUGUUUUUAAAAGACCUUCUUAUGAAGGUAUGCUUAAAGAGGGGCUUGCGCCACAUUAGUUAGUUGGUAGGGUAAAAGCCUACCAAGACGAUGAUGUGUAGCUGGACUGAGAGGUUGAACAGCCACAUUGGGACUGAGACACGGCCCAAACUCCUACGGGAGGCAGCAGUAGGGAAUUUUCGGCAAUGGAGGAAACUCUGACCGAGCAACGCCGCGUGAACGAUGAAGUAUUUCGGUAUGUAAAGUUCUUUUAUUGAAGAAGAAAAAGUAGUGGAAAAACUAUAUUGACGUUAUUCAAUGAAUAAGCCCCGGCUAACUAUGUGCCAGCAGCCGCGGUAAGACAUAGGGGGCGAGCGUUAUCCGGAAUUAUUGGGCGUAAAGGGUGCGUAGGCUGUUAGAUAAGUCUAUAAUUUAAUUUCAGUGCUUAACGCUGUCUUGUUAUAGAAACUGUCUUGACUAGAGUGAGAUAGAGGCAAGCGGAAUUCCAUGUGUAGCGGUAAAAUGUGUAAAUAUAUGGAGGAACACCAGAAGCGUAGGCGGCUUGCUGGGUCUUUACUGACGCUGAGGCACGAAAGCGUGGGUAGCAAACAGGAUUAGAUACCCUGGUAGUCCACGCCGUAAACGAUGAGUACUAAGUGUCGGGGUAAAACUCGGUACUGAAGUUAACACAUUAAGUACUCCGCCUGAGUAGUACGUACGCAAGUAUGAAACUUAAAGGAAUUGACGGGACUCCGCACAAGCGGUGGAUCAUGUUGUUUAAUUCGAAGAUACACGAAAAAUCUUACCAGGUCUUGACAUACUCUGCAAAGCUAUAGAAAUAUAGUGGAGGUUAUCAGGGAUACAGGUGGUGCAUGGUUGUCGUCAGUUCGUGUCGUGAGAUGUUAGGUUAAGUCCUAAAACGAGCGCAACCCUUGUCGUUAAUUGCCAGCACGUAAUGGUGGGGACUUUAGCGAGACUGCCAAUUAAACAUUGGAGGAAGGUGAGGAUUACGUCAAAUCAUCAUGCCCCUUAUGAUCUGGGCUACAAACGUGAUACAAUGGCUGUGACAAAGAGUAGCUGAAACGCGAGUUUUUAGCCAAUCUCAAAAAAGCAGUCUCAGUUCGGAUUGAAGUCUGUAACUCGACUUCAUGAAGUUGGAAUCGCUAGUAAUCGCGAAUCAGCAUGUCGCGGUGAAUACGUUCUCGGGGUUUGUACACACA
rnacentral:rRNA from 1 species